UACGUAGGGCGCAAGCGUUGUCCGGAAUUAUUGGGCGUAAAGAGCUCGUAGGCGGUUUGUCACGUCGGCUGUGAAAACCCGAGGCUCAACCUCGGGCCUGCAGUCGAUACGGGCAGACUAGAGUGCUGUAGGGGAGACUGGAAUUCCUGGUGUAGCGGUGAAAUGCGCAGAUAUCAGGAGGAACACCGGUGGCGAAGGCGGGUCUCUGGGCAGUAACUGACGUGGAGGAGCGAAAGACCGUGGGGAGCAAACAGG
rnacentral:rRNA from 1 species